GACGAACGCUGGCGGCGUGCCUAAUACAUGCAAGUCGAACGCAGUGGGGAUGGGUGAGUAACACGUGGGUAACCUCCCAUCAGAGGGGAUAACACUUGGAAACAGGUGCUAACCUGAUAUUGAAGGAUGGACACGCGGUGGAUUAGCUAGUCGGUGAGGUCACGGCUCACCAAGUCUACGAUGCAUAGCCGACCUGAGAGGAUGAUCGGCCACACUGGGACUGAGACACGGCCCAGACUCCUACGGGAGGCAGCAGUAGGGAAUCUUCGGCAAUGGACGAAAGUCUGACCGAGCAACGCCGCGUGAAUGAAGAAGGUUUUCGGGUCGUAAAACUCUGUUGUUAGAGAAGCGGUAUCUAACCAGAAAGCCACGGCUAACUACGUGCCAGCAGCCGCGGUAAUUC
rnacentral:rRNA from 1 species